CUACGGGCGGCUGCAGUGAGGAAUUUUGCGCAAUGGGGGAAACCCUGACGCAGCAACGCCGCGUGAGCGAAGAAGGCCCUCGGGUCGUGAAGCUCUGUCAAGUGGGAAAAAAAUUUUUUGAUCAAUAGUCAAAAGACUUGAUGGUACCACUGGAGGAAGCACCGGCUAACUCCGUGCCAGCAGCCGCGGUAAUACGGAGGGUGCAAGCGUGGUUCGGAUUUACUGGGCGUAAAGAGCGUGUAGGCGGUUUAGCAAGUCAGAUGUGAAAGCCCUGGGCUCAACCCGGGAAGUGCAUUUGAAACUGCUUCACUAGAGUAUGGGAGAGGAGAUUGGAAUUCCUGGUGUAGAGGUGACAUUCGUAGAUAUCAGGAGGAACACCCGUGGCGAAGGCGAUUCUCUGGACCAAUACUGACGCUGAGACGCGAAAGCGUGGGGAGCAAACAGGAUUAGAUACCCCCGUAGUC
rnacentral:rRNA from 1 species